AGAAAGUCACGGCUAACUACGUGCCAGCAGCCGCGGUAAUACGUAGGUGGCAAGCGUUAUCCGGAUUUAUUGGGCGUAAAGAGAGUGCAGGCGGUUUUCUAAGUCUGAUGUGAAAGCCUUCGGCUUAACCGGAGAAGUGCAUCGGAAACUGGAUAACUCGAGUGCAGAAGAGGGUAGUGGAACUCCAUGUGUUAGCGGUGGAAUGCGUAGAUAUAUGGAAGAACACCAGUGGCGAAGGCGGCUACCUGGUCUGCAACUGACGCUGAGACUCGAAAGCAUGGGUAGCGAACAGGAUUAGAUACCCUGGUAG
rnacentral:rRNA from 1 species